rnacentral:rRNA from 1 species
CCUACGGGUGGCAGCAGUGGGGAAUAUUGGGCAAUGGGCGCAAGCCUGAACCAGCAACGCCGCGUGAAGGAAGAAGGCUUUCGGGUUGUAAACUUCUUUUGUCAGGGACGAAGCAAGUGACGGUACCUGACGAAUACGCCACGGCUAACUACGUGCCAGCAGCCGCGGUAAUACGUAGGUGGCAAGCGUUAUCCGGAUUUACUGGGUGUAAAGGGUGUGUAGGCGGGACUGUAAGUCAGAUGUGAAAAUCAAGGGCUCAACCUGUGGACUGCAUUUGAAACUGUAGUUCUUGAGUGCAGGAGAGGCAGGCGGAAUUCCUAGUGUAGCGGUGAAAUGCGUAGAUAUUAGGAGGAACACCAGUGGCGAAGGCGGUCUGCUGGACAGCAACUGACGCUGAGGCGCGAAAGCGUGGGGAGCAAACAGGAUUAGAUACCCCAGUAGUC